UUGCACGCUGGCGGCAGGCCUAACACAUGCAAGUCGCACGGUAACAGGAAGCAGCUUGCUGCUUCGCUGACGAGUGGCGGACGGGUGAGUAAUGUCUGGGAAGCUGCCUGAUGGAGGGGGAUAACUACUGGAAACGGUAGCUAAUACCGCAUAAUGUCGCAAGACCAAAGAGGGGGACCUUCGGGCCUCUUGCCAUCGGAUGUGCCCAGAUGGGAUUAGCUUGUUGGUGGGGUAACGGCUCACCAAGGCGACGAUCCCUAGCUGGUCUGAGAGGAUGACCAGCCACACUGGGACUGAGACACGGUCCAGACUCCUACGGGAGGCAGCAGUGGGGAAUAUUGCACAAUGGGCGCAAGCCUGAUGCAGCCAUGCCGCGUGUAUGAAGAAGGCCUUCGGGUUGUAAAGUACUUUCAGCGGGGAGGAAGGGAGUAAAGUUAAUACCUUUGCUCAUUGACGUUACCCGCAGAAGAAGCACCGGCUAACUCCGUG
rnacentral:rRNA from 1 species